rnacentral:rRNA from 1 species
UAAGGAAUAUUGGUCAAUGGACGCAAGUCUGAACCAGCCAUGCCGCGUGAAGGAUGAAGGUCCUCUGGAUUGUAAACUUCUUUUAUCUGGGACGAAAACGGGAUUUUUAUCUCAAUUGACGGUACCAGAGGAAUAAGCACCGGCUAACUCCGUGCCAGCAGCCGCGGUAAUACGGAGGGUGCGAGCGUUAUCCGGAUUUACUGGGUUUAAAGGGUGCGUAGGUGGGCUUAUAAGUCAGUGGUGAAAUCUCCGAGCUUAACUUGGAAACUGCCGUUGAUACUAUAGGUCUUGAAUUAUCUGGAGGUAAGCGGAAUAUGUCAUGUAGCGGUGAAAUGCUUAGAUAUGACAUAGAACACCAAUUGCGGAGGCAGCUUACUACAUAUAAAUUGACGCUGAGGCACGAAAGCGUGGGGAUCAAACA